rnacentral:rRNA from 1 species
GAUGAACGCUGGCGGCGUGUCUAAAACAUGCAAGUCGUGCGGCAGCGAGCCCUUCGGGGUGUCGGCGAGCGGCGGACGGCUGAGUAACGCGUGGGAACGUACCCCAAAGUGAGGGAUAACCUCAAGAAAUCGAGGCUAAUACCGCAUGUGAUCUUCGGAUUAAAGCUUUAUGCGCUUUGGGAACGGCCCGCGUCCGAUUAGCUAGUUGGUGAGGUAAAGGCUCACCAAGGCGACGAUCGGUAGCUGGUCUGAGAGGAUGAUCAGCCAGACUGGAACUGAGACACGGUCCAGACUCCUACGGGAGGCAGCAGUUAGGAAUCUUCCACAAUGGGCGAAAGCCUGAUGGAGCAACGCCGCGUGCAGGAUGAAGGCCCUCGGGUCGUAAACUGCUUUUGUUAGCGAAGAAUAUGACGGUAACUAACGAAUAAGGAUCGGCUAACUACGUGCCAGCCGCCGCAGUAA